rnacentral:rRNA from 1 species
AUAGCAUAUCAAUAAGCGGAGGAAAAGAAACCAACAGGGAUUGCCCUAGUAACGGCGAGUGAAGCGGCAACAGCUCAAAUUUGAAAUCUGGCCCUCGGGUCCGAGUUGUAAUUUGUAGAGGAUGCUUUUGGUGCAGUGCCUUCCGAGUUCCUUGGAACAGGACGCCUUAGAGGGUGAGAGCCCCGUACGGUUGGACACUAAGCCUCUGUAAAGCUCCUUCGACGAGUCGAGUAGUUUGGGAAUGCUGCUCUAAAUGGGAGGUAAAUUUCUUCUAAAGCUAAAUACCGGCCAGAGACCGAUAGCGCACAAGUAGAGUGAUCGAAAGAUGAAAAGUACUUUGAAAAGAGGGUUAAAUAGCACGUGAAAUUGUUGAAAGGGAAGCGUUUAUGACCAGACCUUUGUCUGGCGGAUCAUCCGGUGUUCUUCACCGGUGCACUUCGCCAGGCUCAGGCCAGCAUCGAUUUCUGUAGGGGGAUAAAAACCAUGGGAACGUAGCUCUCUCCGGGGAGUGUUAUAGCCCUAGGUACAAUACCUUUACGGGGAUCGAGGUUCGCGCUUCUGCAAGGAUGCUGGCGUAAUGGUCAUCAACGACCCGUCUUGAAACACGGACCAAGGAGUCGAACAUUUAUGCGAGUGUUUGGGUGUUAAACCCUCACGCGUAAUGAAAGUGAACGGAGGUGAGAGCCCGUACGGGUGCAUCAUCGACCGAUCCUGAUGUCUUCGGAUGGAUUUGAGUAAGAGCAUAACUGUUCGGACCCGAAAGAUGGUGAACUAUGCGUGGAUAGGGUGAAGCCAGAGGAAACUCUGGUGGAGGCUCGCAGCGGUUCUGACGUGCAAAUCGAUCGUCAAAUCUGCGCAUGGGGGCGAAAGACUUAUCGAACCAUCUAGUAGCU